rnacentral:tRNA from 2 species
GGAGAGGUCGGAUAACGGUUAUUCCAGCAGGUUGCUAACCUGCGCUGCUUAACGGCGGCCUGUGGGUUCGAAUCCCACCCUCUCCG